rnacentral:rRNA from 1 species
GAUGAACGCUGGCGGCGUGCCUAAUACAUGCAAGUCGAGCGAACAGACGAGGAGCUUGCUUCUCUGACGUUAGCGGCGGACGGGUGAGUAACACGUGGAUAACCUACCUAUAAGACUGGGAUAACUUCGGGAAACCGGAGCUAAUACCGGAUAAUAUAUUGAACCGCAUGGUUCAAUAGUGAAAGACGGUUUUGCUGUCACUUAUAGAUGGAUCCGCGCCGCAUUAGCUAGUUGGUAAGGUAACGGCUUACCAAGGCAACGAUGCGUAGCCGACCUGAGAGGGUGAUCGGCCACACUGGAACUGAGACACGGUCCAGACUCCUACGGGAGGCAGCAGUAGGGAAUCUUCCGCAAUGGGCGAAAGCCUGGCGGAGCAACGCCGCGUGAGUGAUGAAGGUCUUCGGAUCGUAAAACUCUGUUAUUAGGGAAGAACAAAUGUGUAAGUAACUAUGCACGUCUUGACGGUACCUAAUCAGAAAGCCACGGCUAACUACGUG